AUUGAACGCUGGCGGCAAGCCUAACACAUGCAAGUCGAACGGUAGCACAGAGAGCUUGCUCUCGGGUGACGAGUGGCGGACGGGUGAGUAAUGUCUGGGAAACUGCCCGAUGGAGGGGGAUAGCUACUGGAAACGGUAGCUAAUACCGCAUAACGUCUUCGGACCAAAGUGGGGGACCUUCGGGCCUCACACCAUCGGAUGUGCCCAGAUGGGAUUAGCUAGUAGGUGGGGUAAUGGCUCACCUAGGCGACGAUCCCUAGCUGGUCUGAGAGGAUAACCAGCCACACUGGAACUGAGACACGGUCCAGACUCCUACGGGAGGCAGCAGUGGGGAAUAUUGCACAAUGGGCGCAAGCCUGAUGCAGCCAUGCCGCGUGUAUGAAGAAGGCCUUCGGGUUGUAAAGUACUUUCAGCGGGGAGGAAGGCGAUGGAGUUAAUAGCUUCAUCGAUUGACGUUACCCGCAGAAGAAGCACCGGCUAACUCCGUGCCAGCAGCCGCCGUAA
rnacentral:rRNA from 1 species